rnacentral:tRNA from 1 species
GGUCCGGUAGUUCAGUUGGUUAGAAUGCCGCACUGUCACUGCGGAGGUCGCGAGUUCGAGUCUCGUCCGGACCGCCA